GAUUUAGUUCUGCCAUUAAUCCUACUAUGUCUUCAAACAGACAAUAAGAUUUAAGAGUUAUUCAAAUAAGGCACAGCUUAAUUGAAAUAGGAUACAACCUUAACUACAGGGUAAAACUUAAUUUAUUCAACAAGUGGGCCUGAGAGCAGCCAUCUUUUAAAAAGCGUUAAAGCUUAAUCUAAAUCUCUUAAAAAAUACCAAAAACAAUCAUGAACCCUUUACCAUUACUGAAUGACUCCAUAAAUUUAUGGAAGACACGAUGCUAGAACUAGUAACAAGAAUUUAAAAUUCUCCAAAAUGUGAGCAUAAACCAAAAUGGAUAAUCCAUUGGUAAUUAACGAAUUUGAACCAACUACAGUGACAAAACAAGAAAAUUCUAUAGUACACAUCGUUAACCUAACACUAGAACAUUUAUGGAAAGAUUAACAGAGAAAGAAGGAACUCGGCAAAUUUCAACCCCGCCUGUUUACCAAAAACAUCGCCUCUUGAAACUCAUAAGAGGUCCAGCCUGCCCAGUGACAAAGUUCAACGGCCGCGGUACCCUAACCGUGCGAAGGUAGCAUAAUCACUUGUUCUCUAAAUAGGGACUCGUAUCAACGGCAUCACGAGGGUUACACUGUCUCCUUUCUCCAAUCAGUGAAACUGAUCUCCCCGUGAAGAAGCGGGGAUUUUUCUAUAAGACGAGAAGACCCUAUGGAGCUUUAAACCCAACAACAAACCUGUCAUAUAAUUCUUCAUAACCUACAGGAAUUAUGUUUGUUGGUUUUAGGUUGGGGUGACCGCGGAGUAAAACUUAUCCUCCACGACGAAAAGAACUAAAUCUUUAUCUAAGAGACACUACUCUAAGAAUUAGUAUACUAACGGACAAUGACCCAAUAUUUGAUUAACGGACUAAGUUACCCUAGGGAUAACAGCGCAAUCUACUUUGAGAGCUCCUAUCGACAAGUAGGCUUACGACCUCGAUGUUGGAUCAGGGUAUCCCAGUGGUGCAGCCGCUACGAAGGUUCG
rnacentral:rRNA from 1 species